CCAGACACGUGGACCUCGUAACGACCGUGAGAUGAACGUGAACCACAGCAGGUAAGCUGUGAUAGCCGCCAAAAGGAGCAAUGCAGUCGAUAUAUCCAUAUACCUCUUAACUACAACAAAACAACUCGCUCCUACCUCAAAUUUUCUCUAGAAAAAAAAUGGUUCUAAGAAAAGUUGAAAACAAUAACUUACCUAAAAUAUGGGUUUUUUUCAAAAAGAAAUGUGGAAACACGAAGCACUGAAAGAGAAAGUUUUACGUAAAAGAAAUGAAGGUUCUGCUUUGUUUUUUUUAUUUUUUACGUACAUGAAAGCUGCUUCAUCAAGAAAAAAAAAAGGAGGAUUAAAGAUCUGAAAAACAGAGAAAAAAAAUGAAGAAGAAGAAGAAGAAGAAGAAGAUGAUUGUGCAAAAAUGGAGUAUAGAAAGAGGAUUUAUAGGUGAAAUUAUAAAGAAAGGCAAUUAUUAAGGACAGACUGUUCCUUUGAAUUGCACCAUCAAAUCUCUUGUUUUCCCUUUCUUUUUAAUUUCUUUCUCUUUAGUGUCUAACUAUCAGAUGCACCACCAUAAAUGCGCUGAGAGGUCGUUGAAACCUCUUAAAGCCUUUUUUUUCCUUAAAAAAAGAAAAAGAAAAGAGUCCUAACCAUUACUUGGUGUAGCAAAGCCCAAAAUUAACUCUCAUCUUAUUCUUUGUUUUUCCUAUUUCUCUUUCCUCUACGAAUUUUCACCUAAUUUUUGCAGGGAAAGAAAGAGGGUCUUUAAUUCAAGCAUUGAAUGAAGAGAAUUAAAUGAGUUUAGUUGAGAAAGUAAAAAAGAAGAAGACUACAAUGUCAAUGAAGCAAUAAAAAGAUGAAACAAGUGACGCAAAGAUAAACAGUGUGUAUUUUCUUGGUCCCUUUUAGGGUUUAAUAGAAAAGGAUGGAAUGGGAGAUGUAAAUUAUGAAAAUGGGGUUUAGUCAUGUGAGCUUU
rnacentral:lncRNA from 1 species